rnacentral:rRNA from 1 species
UACGGGGGGGGCAAGCGUUGUUCGGAAUUACUGGGCGUAAAGGGCUCGUAGGCGGCCAACUAAGUCGGACGUGAAAUCCCUCGGCUUAACCGGGGAACUGCGUCCGAUACUGGAUGGCUUGAGUAUGGGAGAGGGAUGCGGAAUUCCAGGUGUAGCGGUGAAAUGCGUAGAUAUCUGGAGGAACACCGGUGGCGAAGGCGGCAUCCUGGACCAUUACUGACGCUGAGGAGCGAAAGCGUGGGGAGCGAACAGG